rfam:Daphnia magna strain Xinb3 scaffold01581, whole genome shotgun sequence.
CAAACGGCCCUUUUCAGGGCCACCAACUAUAAAAGAAAAUGUGUAU